CAUGGGUUCUGCUGUUGUUUUCUUUGUUGAAAUAUUUCCAGAAGCAUUACUUUCCAUUUGUGUACCCUGGAGUCUGACGGAAGCAUCUUUCCACUAAUGCAGUUGUCCUCAGCUGUUUGGCAUGUAUAAGUGUCCUGAGGAAUCCUUGAUAAACCUACCAAAACUUGCUUAUAAGGUUUUCCAAAGCGUAUGACAAACACUUUCCCUCUGUUGGUGGCUCUUCACUAUGCUAGAAAAUUGAGCAAGUUUUCAAAAGAUUAUGGGUCUCCACUGUUACCAUGAAUAUGAUCCUUGUAUUUCAUGUAACUUUGACUCCCAGGCAAAGGGAAGUGUGAACGCUUCUAAGAUACAACUCUUCUCGAUUGCUACAAGGAAAAAGUGUGAAAAAAUGUGAUGACUAGUUAUACAUCCGAUGACAAGAUAAUUACGAUAAUAACCAUGGUGGCAAUUAUAGAAUAAUAAUGAUGUGUAGACUGAAAUAGGAGUAUCAUCUGACUGACAUUUCCACAAUUAAGAACUUGAAAAAACAGCAGUUCAACAUUCAGCUAAAGAAAUUUGACAGGUGACUUGUGUGGGCAGAGGAAGACAAAGGAGCCUCCAUCCCACCUGUCCUUCAGUUGUCAGGCUACUUCUGAGGUUACCCACACAGCAGAGGCAGAAUGAGGCCCACCCCUUCUUCCCUACCAACACUGCUGUCUCGAUCUGUUACCUGCAUAAGAAUGGGGCAGCGGCCAAACUACGACGUCCUAGCAAGCUCUGAUGCAUGGGUCUCCUCACAACAGAGGGACAGAGGUGACAACCAAAAGACCAACCUAACUGAGGACAAGAUCAACAAGCCAGAGGAGAGUUUCACUCAAGCACUGAAGUAUUACCCUUCCACAGAGACCAAGUAAGAGACAGCCUUGGAGAGGGUGAGAGCUAGAUAGAGAUCAUCAGAGAUCCACUGAGAAACACAAGCUCAGCCCAGGAAGACCAUGGGACCUGUAUUCAUUGGUAGAAGGCCACAUGAAAAGUAAAUACAACAGCUGCUGUAUGCUACAAAUAAGAGCAAUAUAAGAGAAAUGGGAGUUAAUGAAAUAUCAAAAGAUAGCACAAGGGACAUAAAAAUAUCUUUUUACAAAAGUAAUAGCAAAAAAUUUUCCACAUAUAGAAAAAGAAUGUAAAGAGAUUGCAUU